AUUGAACUCUGGCGGCAGUCAUAACACAUGCAAGUCGAGCGGAGCGGCGGACGGGUGAGGAAUGCCUAGGAAUCUGCCUGGUAGUGGGGGAUAACGUCCGGAAACGGGCUCUAAUACCGCAUACUAUCAGAUACUCCUAGGUCGGAUUAGCUAGUUGGUGGGGUAAAUGCCUACCAAGGCGAUGAUCCUUAACUGGUAUGAGAGGAUGAUCAGUCACAAUGGAACUGAGACACGGGCCAGACUCCUAGGGGAGGCAGCAGUGGUGAAUAUUGGACAAUGGGCGAAAGUCUGAUCCAGCCAUGCCGCGUGUGUGAAGAAGGGCUUCGGAUUGUAAAGCACUUUAAGUUGGGAGGCGUUACCAACAGAAUAAGCACCGGCUAACUGCGUGCCAGCAGCCGCGUAAUUC
rnacentral:rRNA from 1 species